UUUCAUAGGCAUUUUCCUAAGAAGUUGGUGGUCUUAUCAUGAAUUAAGGCGGAGUGACUGGUGAGUUCGGGACAAGAGAGGAACUCAUGCUCUUACUAUAGUACCAACCAAAAGUAAAUUCUCGACAUUUCAUAACAGAAUGGAUUCUCUUUCUUUCUGGCCCUUCCUCUUUGAGCCCGACCACUCUUUCCAUUUGGAACAAGGUACGUUUCUUCUUAUUCUUCUUCUUCAUCAUCAUAUUGGUUAGUAGCAGUGACGAAGCCAGAAAUUUCUUUAAAAGAAUUCAAAAAAAAUCUCGACAAAAAUUGUUCAAUAUGUAUUAUGUACCUCUAAAACCUAAUAUUUUACCGAUGUAUACGUUGUAAUUUUCCAGUCCUCACAAAAGUGUAGCUUUGCCCCUAGUUAGCAGGAUAGGGAAAAAGGAAGAAAGAUUGAUAUGUUGUGCUAGUUUAUUUCUUCUUUACUGAUUAUAAUUUUUAUUUAAAUGCUUUUUGAAGAAAAGGUACAAAUCAUUGGAUUGAUGAUCUCCUCGUACCUUAUGUGAAUGUGGAAUAUUUCGUAUCCUAUGCUUGACAAGUGAGCAGUCCUUUUGCUGUUAACCUUUGUCUCAUUGUCUGUUCGACCUUGAAAAUAUAAUUUCAUCUACUCACAAACCCUAGCUACUUGGUUUGGAGUAUUAGUAACAAACACGUCUCAACAACUUACCACGAUAGUGAAGGAGGUGGGGGUGCUCUAUAUAGCUUUUUUGAUUUUGCAUUAAAAGUUGUACUUAAAAAACUUAAAUCUAUGAAUAUAGGCAUUGAAAUUCGAAACAUGUCGGGGGUAAAUACUGCUAUCUACAAACAAAUUGCAUCAUAUAGAUAUAUAACUAAACAUAUAAAGAGGUACUCCCUUCUGUUUUAUGUAACGUAAGGUCAAACUAAUUAAUUUUCGAUGUGAAUUCAGAUAUAGAAUUUUCAUAUUUGUCGAAGGGAUGUAUUUCCUUAGCUUCGCGGUGUUAUAAUCAGUGGUGGAG
rnacentral:lncRNA from 1 species